GCCGGGAGUGGUGGUGCAUGCCUGUAGUCUCGGCUGCUCGGGAGGCUGAGAUGGGAGGAUCACUUUAGCUCAGGAGUUCUGGGCUGUAGUGCGCUAUGCCGAUUGGGUGCCCGCACUAAGUUCGGCAUCAAUAUGGUGACCUCCUGGGAGCGGGGGACCACCAGGUUGCCUGAGGGGUGAACUGGCCCAGGCUGGAAAUGGAGCAGGUCAAAACUGCUUUGCUGAUCAGUAGUGGGAUCGAAUGAGACCCCGUCUCUUUAAAAAAAAAAAAAAAAAAUU
rfam:Callithrix jacchus chromosome 1, whole genome shotgun sequence